CUGGUUCCUGAGUCAAUUCCAUCCAGGUAGGAGGAAUCCUAUCAGAAAGUAUGUGAGCGCAUUUGCAUUCCUGUGGGGCCCCCUUAGCUCUGGCUGCAUCUGCUUCUGCAGGGAGAAAGUAUCCCUACUGUGAGAGAUCUGGGAUCUGGAGUACAGAGGAUGGUGAAGCCAAGGCCUGAAGACCUUUCCUGCAAGGUGACAGAGGAAGAGACAGAAGGACCAGAACCCAGCUCCCCUGACUCCCCAUCCAGUGCUCUUCUCAUAGAUUACAUUGCUUCAGCAUCCACUCGGCUAUUGCUCCAUUCAGGGGUUACAGGAGUCACUGACUGUUUUGGUUGCUUCUUGGUUGGAGGAUGUUGUGCCUCACCGAUGAGGGCCGGAAGAAAAGGUACCAGUUCUUAGAGGAAGCAUAGGAAUGUGUCCCUUCCUGCUCGGGUCUCUCAACUGAACUCAACCCUUCCUUGAUUGAUUGACAGGCAUGUUAUCUCUUAUAAUCCCUGCCAGGUAAGGGCUGAUGUUCCCAUUUUACAGAUGAGAAUAUUGGCGCUCAGAGAAGUGAAAUGAUUGCUGAAGGUCACACAGCCCGGCUUCAAGCCUCUCGGGCUCCAAAAGGCAUCUUCUGUUCUCUCUGUCAGGAAGCCUCUUUUGGAUGAUUAACUGAGAUUAAAAAUGAAAAUACACAUGAAAGAAA
rnacentral:lncRNA from 1 species